rnacentral:tRNA from 1 species
GGGGAUUUAGCUCAACGGUAGAGCACUUGCCUAGCAAGCACAAGGCCCUGGGUUCGAUCCCCAGCUCCA